GCUAGCAUUGAAUUUUGAAUUAGUGUGUCAACUGGCAUCAAUGAGCCGAAGAUUGGUCGGUCAUAAUCAGUAGUCGAACGCUCAAAUGAUGGCUUGUUUAUAGUAGCGUGAUUGACAACAGGGGUCUUUAAGGCUUCUAGACAUGGCAAUGAUGGGCACAAUAGAGGCAGAAGAGAUGGUGGCAUCGAAUUAGUUGAUUGAUAGCCCUAAUACCAUGUUAAAUAUUUACAGAAGAAGAGGAAAAUAAGAGAGAGAGAGAGAGAGAGAGAG
rnacentral:lncRNA from 1 species